rnacentral:lncRNA from 1 species
CAACCCAAAGUCUUUUUAUUUUCCCCUGUUUCUCUACACUCAUGUCUUUAAUCCUUGUGCUUUGUGUGGACAUGUUCUUUACUUUAAUCCAGGAGUUUUCACUGUAUUUAAUGACCUUCAGAUUUUCUUGGAUAUUUGGAUCUUUCCUGCUUCAUGUGGACUCUGUUUCGGUAAGUCAUCUUUGUCUUUUUGUUAAUCAAAAUCAUCCCAUUAUAGGCCACUACUUCUGACUCUUCUCUCUCUCAGUAGCCAUGUUUACAUGAGCAAAAUUUCUUGAACCGGUCACAAAUUUGAGGGAUCGGAAAAUCUGAAUCCACUAUAUGGGCGCAAAAUCGAAUAAUCCGCUCAUGAUGUGCAUAUACAUGCACCAAUCUUUAUUCAGAUUAGAAGCAUUUGGACAGGCGCAGAGUUGUCAGAUUUUGCAGAAGAGUUGUGUUUAUGUCUGUGCUGUCAACAAACCAACUAAGAUUAUGUAAAAUGAAAGUAAAAGUAGAUUUAGCACCUUAAAGUCAACCAAAAAAUCAAAAUGGAAGUCCAUAAGAGGUUAUUGAGCUAUAGCAAUAAUCUUUUUUUUAAUCACAACAAUAUGAUAAAUAAUCAUGUUUUCACUGAUACAUCAAAAUGGAACUACCGUUAAAAGUCUCAGAUCAAACAUCUAAUUUUGCCGCUGGAUUGGAAACCUUGUGGCAGGUUUAGAAAUGACUGGAAACCCUUGAUUGAUCGCCAAAAGGGUAAGCUUUUGAACCCAUUUGACUCCAUGGAGAAACGCAGUAUAGUUCCUGAGAAAUUGUAAACAAUACUAAUGGUGUCAUGUGGGGGCGCCGGCGAUCCAACAAAGUUCUAAGGUUUAAAUCUUCACCACUGAAUCAACCCAGAAUGAACCACACACAAAAUAUUUUAUAAUAUUGACCAGCUUCUAUCCAAUUCAGCCUAAUUAUGAGUUAUAAUCCACACUGCAUCAUUUAAAUUCAAAGUAGAUAUAAGACCAUUUUUUUAAUCCCUAUUCAGCCAAGAAAGGAAAUAAAAGAACAACCAAAAAUUCAACCUCACAUCACAACUUUUCUAUCCUACUUUCAGUAUGACGCCAUCUGUUGGCCAACAGCCAGCUGACGGUUUGCAUCCCACUUUUUUUUUACACGAUCUCAGGGGUGUGUCACAUUUAUAACACCUGCAAUUUCCCUCCGUGACAGCAUGAGUCACUUUUACUGUCAGGAAGAAGCACCGGGUGUGAAUGUAAAACUCUUGUUUCGGGGGGAAUAUUCACUCCUAACACCUUGAUGUAAAAUGUUACAUCCACGCAGCGUUCAAUUAAUGAACUUCAAGAAAGCACAUUAAGUGGCUGACAUUCACGACAAAAAGGAUUAACUGUAAUGUGAUGGCUGCAUCCUGGCACACAGACAAAGGUGUUAUGGGUGCAUAUUAUACAGUUAUUAAUUCUAUUUUCAGCACUUUUCCAGACCCUGAGAUUGCUUUUUACAAUACACUCCCCGUCCCUGCUCUGCAUAGAGUAAUUUGGAGAUAAAUUGCAAUCAUUUUGGCAAAAUGUCAGCCUUGUAAAAGGAGUAUUUUCCCUCCUGAUAACAAUUGGGGCUCUUUUGUUUUGCAUUGUCCUGUUCUUGAAAAUGUGUUGUAAUAUUUGCACACUGACUUUUUGCCUUUUGUGUCGCUGUUAUCAUCAAAUUUAGUGUCUCCAGUAACAAUCAAGGUACAGGCUACAAUAACAGGACACCACUCAAGGCUUUCUUUCUCGCCUAAUUGCUUACCUACCAUUUAAUUUUGUAAUUAACAUACAUGAAUCUUAAGCUCAUCUUAAUUGAAUUGCCUUGAUUUUAAUUAAGAGCUAUUUUAAAACUGUAAUGGGAAGCACGCGAUUCACUCUUUGUCUGAUAAAUGCGAGGGGCAGGGCAAAUGAACAUGCCUCUCCUUUAAUGAAAACCACAAGAGCCCUUGUUAAUAACGUCUGAAGUGGGCUACAAACAGAAGAAGACGCUCGUUGAACACACUGUGUUUCUAUGAUGUAUUACAGUGCAGGUAAUGUUUGACACACCAUGGGUUAAAAGAAGCAUGAUAAAAAGCAAUAAACAUGUCUCUGUCCUCCCAGGAUUCGCCUUGAUCCCCUUCUCUCAUAUCAUUUUGCCUCACUUGACAUCCCCUCUCGGGUGAUUGAUAGAAAUUAUACACUCAUAGCAGACAGACGACAAUUCCACUGCAUAUUUCUGGAAAAGGUAAUAACAGGAAAGGUGCUUUUGUCACACCGAUUUAAAUCAGAGUAACGGACCAUUAGUGUUCUCGAACAAACCUGUGCUCUGGGAGGUGAAGACAACAUCAGAGGUCGACGGUUUCCCUUCAAAGAAUAGUCCAAGUACAUAUGAAAUUACAAUUUAAUGAGCCACAUAUCUCUCAGUGAUACCCACGCUGUGCAGGCUAUAUUAGAUGCACUGUAAUGCAUUGGCGCUGUGCUGCCCCGCUGUAGAGGCUCUGGCAAUGUGCAGGCGUGGAACACACUGUGUAAUAUCAUCUCAAUGUCAUCCUAGAGAUUAUCAUGAAAUGGCUUUAGAGUUUCUGAUGAAACCGAAAGCGUGGACUAAUAAUAGCAUGAAGAAAAUAAUGCUUAAUCAACUCAGCCGAUGAAAAUGAAUGAUCAAGGGAACGGGCUUUGAGUGCUGGCAUUAGAGAGGGGGGAAAAAUCCACCCUCGGAUACUCUCACAGUGUUUGAUAUGAGCAGUUUGUGUAGUCCGGCGUAUUAUUCAAAUGAUGAACUGUUGAUAAAACGUUGGAAAUGACUAUUCUUAGUGAUCCCGCUUUCCCUUCAGCUCCUGCUUCAGCUGGUAAUUUAUGUUUCUUGUAGAACUUGAAACAACCUCUGGAGUGAACUUGUUACAUUCAAUCAAAUGUGUUUGCAUUUCCUCGGAGUGGAAAUAUAGCUAGAGAGCCUGUAUGUGAUUGCAACCACACCCCCACUCAAAACACAGGGUCUUGCGGUCUACUGAAGCUACUGUUUAUAAUGAAAUUGGUGUCUCAGCCUCCUAUAGAAUGAAUUUCUCUCUGUGUAAGAGGCAUGAUUGUUGAAAUAGUCCCUUUGACAUCAGAAGCGUAUGUUUUGAUUCAUGUUCAACGACCAAACCGAUCUUUUCGGUCAUUAAAAAUCCAAUUUAUGAAUAAUAUCACUUCACAUUUUCAGCCUUUCACUAAAAUGAAAUGUGAAAGUGUAAUUGCAAACAGCUGGGUUUGAGCGGUGUCAGACUGAGUUCUGUGAGGUUUCUCUGGUUUUUCAAGCUGGGCGUCCUCUGCUCAGAGGUGCCCUUGUAGUGCGAACCACAGCGAGACAGUGGGAGCAUUCGUGGUCUGCUGAUCUUCACAUGCCCUGCUGCUCCCUGCUGCAGGGACGGUUUUGCUCAGGCAUGAUGAUGAUGAUGAUGAUGUCUUUGCCAUGGUUGGAUAAAGAACAAAUCUAUUAUUUUUCCCAUGAGACCAAUACCAAUAAAACCCGAAUAAUGUUUAUUUUAAAAGACUGGGAGAAGGAAAAUAGCUUGGGCGAAUAAUGAAAGAUACCUCGGAGGUUUUGGAUGACUAAUGAUGCAUCAUGUCUUAUUUUUAACUAAUUUUAUCGCAGAGGAUUUAUCUCAAACAAAUUCCCUAUUUUUUAAAGUGUUUUUUAAAGAUGUUGAAUAGCUUUGACUUUGACUCCAACAGCUGAGAGUUAAAACAGUAGAUAUGAAAUCAAACAUCCCCAAAUUAAACUGCAAGUAACAAUCUCAGCUAAAUUUAAAAUACGAGGAGUUGGGAGGUGUUAUCGGACAGCUCUUAUACUUUUGUCUUAAAGUCCCUCUUGUUUUUUCUUAACCACUUAAAGUGUUCUCAGUGGUCUUUAAAGGUUUUAGCCAAAAUUUUAUCACUUGUGUAAUUUUCUAGGUCUUUUCUUCUGUAGAUCUCCAGUAGUUCAUAAGCAAUUCGCCUCUGAGUCGUGAACGGAGACGGCGCUGCUCUGCACACUCCUCUUCACGCUAGCUUACAAUCGCAUUGGGCUUGGUGUGUAUAGUCACGCACGUCAAAAUUCAUCUCUGAAUAUUUCGUAAUUUCGUGUCGUAUAUUUGCGUCAGUCCCUGUGUGUAAGGAGUUUAACAUUGCUAAUGUAAUAGAAGUAGCAGGUAGCAUAGAAGCUAUUCAGCUCUCAGACACGAAUGUCUUUGGGGACAUGAUGAAAGUGAAUAUCAUAAUUAGCUUUUUUCACGAGCAUUGCAUUUCUCUCUAUUCGUCCUAUUUUCUUCUCUAAGGGGCGGAGCUUGGAUUUGUGACAUUGGAAAUCUCACUCCAUCUGAACCUGCUGUUUAAGUGUGCCAGAGAUUAACAGUGAUUUAAAAUUAGAAAUACACAGAAAUGCAAUUUCACACUUAUUUUUCUCAUGAUAUGUCCUGUAGCAUCAGAAAAAUGCCACAUGAACAUGUAAACAUGAUUUUCAUCGGAGUGGGUCUUGAAACAGCAAGAACCCUUUAAUAUUUCCAAGGCGAACCUUCCUGCCCUCAGUUGAACUGUAACAUGACAUUUUCAUUUCGCGCAUUUGCCCUGCUUGUACAUUAAUUACACACACAGCACACAAAGUACUUGUUUUACUUCAGCUUAGCCAAAAUGUGUGUAAUCCGACAAGAAUCAUGUUCAUGCUGUGUGUCCCAAUUAGCAAAAUCGUAGGGAGCAGCCUGGUGCAAUGUAACCGUGUCACCGAGCUUUACUGUGGCUAAGAAAUUAAAACGUGCCCUUUUCCUGAAGCCUGACUCACAUCAGAUACGAUCUCGCUCUCCAUUUGUCCUUCAGAAAACAAAACUCGUCUUUAAUUCAACAUAUUGUUCUCAUAUGGCCGUGAUGGAAAAGGGAUAACAGCAACCAAAACUUGGCUCAGUGUGAAUGAUGUUUGCACAGUCUGGGUGAGAGAGGGUGUGCAUGUGUGUGUCCAUCUGUCAUAACUUGUUCAUCGCAGUUCUUUUGCUUAUUGAUUUUCUCAACAUAUCUCUUUGAGUUUCAUGUUCUGUCUCUUUCCGACUCCCUCGCCACUGAUCGAACCGAUGUCCCCGCUGACCUCUCCUCGGCUGCUCUUUUUAGACACCGGCAGGCAGCUGCUCCUUUUGUUUGUUUGGUGUUUGUCGAAGCAAAGUGAUCUCAGCUCUGUAACAUGAAGAGAUGCCACUUAUCUGCAAGAGUUUAUUGUCUGAAAAUCUUCAGUUUUUAAAAUCAUCCUUAUUUUUAAACCCACUUUCAAUCAGGUGACAAUCAAAGUUAAUGUUUUACUUGUUUUUAUUAAUAUACUAGAUGGCUAAUAUUAAAAAAAAAUCUGCAUCUUAGGCAGACACUCGGUUACAUAACUGAUUUAUUGUCUAGCUCUUAGAUUUUCCGCUCUAACUAAAUGAUUCACGCGUAUGUUGUCCCGAUGCUCCUUAAACAAUGUGAUGAGUCAAAUUAAGACUCAAUUAUCUGAAUUAUCAAUGUAGAAAAUGUGACAAUCUUAUGUAAGCUUUAAACACCCUUCUCAGAGCUUGGCAUUUCUGUCACGAUCACACACUUUGUAAUUAAAUGGUUUUGUCUACUCAUGGAUCAUUGCUUUCAGCCGAUUAACGAAUGAUAGGAAAGACUAUAUAAAUCAAAGACUACCAACCCAACUAAUUAGCUAUCCUAACCAUUACAUCCACUAACAACCGCUGGAGGUGGUUUCUCUUACAUAAUCAACUUCAUUAUUACAUUUUUUCUUUUUUCUUUGCGAUGGAUCGUAUCUGAAAGCGGGCUAGCAUAGCACGGCUGAGGAAAAACUGUAUCUUUGUAUCGUCUGAAACGCCACAUUAGAAUAAGAGACACAGAUCCAGGAAGCUUAUCAGUGCUGCUCCAGGUGAAAACAAACAUACGGGGAUGUUUUUCUCUCUUUUUUUUUGGCUCUUGUUCUCAAGGGCAAACACGGGGCUGGUUCAUUUCAAUUACAGAGUCGGGUGAAACACUCGGCUGGCUCUAUUCUAAUUUGUCUUUAUAUCAAUUAAUAAACCUUGACAGCAACAUUACAUCAAGGUACAAACUCUAAGUAUGAAGGACAUGCCUUAACUUAACGGUUAAAUUCUGCUUUUACCUUAUGUGAAUACAAAACAACCCCCUCACUCCUCCAUUGUGGUCACCUCUCAGGACACAAAGCUCCAGAGAUAAUCCACCGACUGCAAAGAAUCCGGAGCGUUUGUCUGCAGUGAGUAAAGAUUUUGCCCUCAAAAGGCUCACCUUCAGACUGCCACUAUUCUGCUCUUCUUAUAUGGGUCUGAUGCUAAUCAGUGUGGAUUGUAUUUUAUGCCUCGAGGCAGGAAAAUGUGCUGAUGAGAGGCCCACAAUAAAUGAACCUUAUCACCUAAUGGCAUCUCUGCCCACCCUUUGACUUACUGAGAAGCCUUUGCAAAAUGUCAUGGUCAGGCGGAGCACACAUGAGAUAAUUAGAGAGAAAUGACUGAUCCACAGAUCCACUGGCCACUCAUCAUCAUAAAUGCUGGAAGCAAAAUCAGGGAUUUCUAGGGAAACUUGGAACAGAUUUGAAAUAUGAUUAAUACAUCUGGUGAUGCUUUUGUAUGGAUUAAAUGUUUCAGCUCUGGUCUCAAUCGAGAGGACACCUGAAUGCAGUAGCACUGCAUUGAUGCAAUCUUAGCAGAUGUGAAAGUACUAACAACUGCAUUUCCCUGAGUGUCCACUUGAGGCUCUGACAGCACUUAUUCAAAAAGGCUCAUCAUUAGCUGCGUUUACAUGAACACAAAUAAUCGGAAUAAAGGCCCGAUCGGAAUAAAAAUUUGUCAUUUAAACAUAUUGAUUGUCAGUAUUUAAUCCAGUUCAGCUCAAUCAGAAAAAAAUUGUAUUCCGAUCGAGAAGGUUGGUUUAUGCCGAUCGUUAUUCCGAAACGCGUCCAUGUAAGCACUUAUUCUGAUGGUGACUCUCUAACCUGACUCGAUCUUCACUCUUUAGACUUUGGCUUAUUCAUUGAGGUCAGUACAGAAGGUUUCAUUAUUAACACAAUCACAGUUGACGCCUGCUCCUCCGAUAACAUAACAAGGCAUACAUAACGCGUAAUGAUGUCACAUCUGCAACAGUAAAAUAAGUACGCAAGGGCGCCAUCUAGUGACAACAUUUAACGGGGGAAAAAUCCUGGAAUACAAAAAGUUGUAAAUACAGCUCUUCUUCUUCUGUGGUUGUUUUAGCGAAAUCAGACAACUCAGGGCAUGUCCAGAUGCUUCUAAUCUGAAUGAAGUUUGGUGCAUGUAUACGCACGUCAUAAUCGGAUUAUUUGAUUUUGCGCCCGUAUAAACAAUGGAUUCAGAUUUUCUGAUCCCUCAAACUUUUAUUUGGAUCAAGAAAUUUUGCAGAUGUAAACAAAGCAAUUGUUAGCAUGUUUGUUGUCUAUUUCAACAAUGAUUUUAAACUGAUUAGCUUGUUCAUUUAUCGGCACACAGUGUACAAGGAGAUACAUUUGGUUGUAAUUCAUAAGAUUUAAAGAAAUUUAAAUGACAAGUUUAGCAGUAUAAGAGGACAGCUGUCUUGACUGACAGGUCUAAAAAGACGUUAAAUAGACGUCUGCUUGUCCUUAGAUGUCUGGGCCAAAAUCGGUCUACCUCUGGUCAAAAAAUGAACCUUUUUUUUUAGCUGUCUUUGAUUAGACUAGCCAUCUAAUAGACAAAACUACACUGUACAUUGAUCAAUGACUGUUAAAAAUGUUUUAAUCCAACAUUUGGCCAUCCCUUAUACAACUUGUAGUUGUUUUUUAUCCAAUAUUAAUAAUUAAUAGAUUAAAUUCUAUCAUCUAGAUUUGGGCUAGAAUAUAGACUGUUUAUAGACGGGCAAAUUUCUGUCUUAACUAAGACGACGUCUGAGGCUCAGUGGGCUCUUUGUCUCUUGAGUCCACAUUUUCAAUACUGUCCAUACUGUCAGAAACCAGUGGAUGACAUUUGUGGCCAAGUUAGUGUUUUUUGUACAGUCUACAUAUGCAAAAAUAAAACUUGUUAGCCAAAAAUAUCUUAAACUUUAUAAUACUCAAAUUUAUUUCAACCUUUUUCUCACAGUGUUAACCAGUCAGAGUUUUCACAUUUUGCAAUAAAAUAGCUCCAAGAAGAAAGUGUCGAGAUUUACGGCAGGCAUGUUUUCAUCAUUGUUUAGCUACGCUGGACACUCCGUCUUAAUGAAAUUGUAUUACAUGUAAAAACUUUCUCCCCAGAAUCACACAUUAUGAAGGUGACAAGUGGCUAAUUCAGUAAACUGGAGAUCGAGGUUUUAACAGUAAUUGGCCACAAAUUAACCCUCCAGGCGAUGCACAAAUCUUGACAUGCAAAAUAAAGCAUCUCCUGGCCCCAUAUGCAGGCUGUAAUAGAGUUCAUUUGUACCUUGUGCAGCCGAGAUUAUCUCUCCACCAAAGUGAGUGUAUGUGUUUUUAGGAUGGAAACGCCCCGUAGAGCAGGGCUAAGUAGGCAAUCACUCAUUCUGAGUAACGGCAGAGGUGAAAUGUAAGUAAACUCUGUGAAUGUGCAUGGCCACCCAAGUGCCAGAUGCUGAGGGCUGGUGCCAACAUGGCAUGUGAGUGACUCAUUAAAUCAGAAGAGAGGAAUCCAUUGGCCUUUCUCUGAUGGCUCUGUCGCUCAUUCAAACUAGCAGCUUCUCUGCCAGAGACUUUCUUCGAUCAGGGAAAGCAGCCAGCUGGGACAGUUCCCGAUUCAUUAUAGGCAUGAAAAUAAAUAAAAGAGGCAAAUUUUUAAAAAUAGCAUCGAGAGUGGGACCACGGGGAGGCAGCGGUGGUAUUAGAGAAAGGAAAACAGUUUCCUGUAAGCUACAGAUUAUGAAAACAUUAAGCAACAAUUACCGUAAUGAGAGUUAUUGAAGCGGCAAGGUAGCAGACAAGCUGUGUGCAUCUGGUUGCUGCAUCUGGCUGCAAGGGAAGAGCAUCAAAAGGGCAGGCAGGAAGGCAUUCAUUUCUUUUCGCCAUUCCCUCCCCGUGGAUGGAGAAAUGGCAUGUCAGUAAUUGUCAUGUACUGGGAAUGAUCUCACAGGCUGCGCGUUGAUGCAUGCGCUGCUAUGGAUAUCAAGUGCUCUGUCAGAAAUUUGGAAGAUGUCAUUUAGGGUAAAUUGAGGGAAUGGCUUUCACUGGGCAAGUCAUGUCCCUCCCUCUGUGUUAGGAGAUGAGAACAAAAUAGAUAUUAUCCACCGCUGAUAGGUUUGAAAUCUUCAUCGUUUAUAUUUGGCAGAAAUAGACUCAGAAAGCAGACAAACUUAGCUGUGCGUUAAACCAACACCAAAAUCUUGUUACAAAUGAACGCAGUCUUAGUUUAUUUGUUUAUUAAUUUAUUUGUCAUUUGUGCCUUUAAAACAUGUAACGACAUGUUUUAAUCAAUUCAAGUCCCGUCUGUGUGAUCUGAUGUGUCAUAAUGUCCUCUCAUGAGACUAGGAUUUCACGUACCGAAGCCAGUACCACAUUUCUGAGGAGUUUCUUCGUCUUUGUCAUCCUCUACAGUAAAUUGCAUGGUGCAUGUGGUGAUCACUACAAACUGACAUUUUGUGUUUUAUUCAUUUUCUGUCGCAUUCUUCCCACUUCCAGGUUUUGUCACUGGCAAUUUAGCGCACAAUAUUGAAUCCUGCUCUCACUGCACCCAGCGGCCCAUUUAAUCAGGGAGUGGGAUUAAGGCUGAGCAGCCCCAGCCCCAGACGAGACGUACAGUAACGUGACUCUCUACUAGGGACUCAAGAUGGAUGAGCUGGGCUACAGCCGGGAUGGAACGCCUCCAUUGGGCCGUUUGGCCUGGUGGAGCCCAUCAAUCAGGGCGGCACCAGAGGUCCAGGCUGAGGCUGUGUAAUGAUGCGAACAGCAUGUGGCCGAGCCAUCCCUGGCUGCUCAGGUGUGAGGGUCUGCCCCGUCCACCGGUCCUCUCAACUCCUUCACCGCUAUCAUCCAUCAUGUACCGGUCGGAUUCAUGGCAUGCAACAGAUUUCAGAAGGUUAGAUUUGAUAAAAAUAACUUAGGAUCAAACUCACGGCAGAUUGUUUGUGGAGUUGAAUGUUAAAAAUGAUGUGAUGAUAACUUAAAAAAAAAAAAUAAAUAGUUUUUUUUUUCAGGGCUUGAUUAGAAGUAAAACAUACCUGCAUAACUGCUGGUACCCUUUAGAGAAAUAAUCCAUGAGCGCCUUGACAAGCAUUUUGUUUAUGAAGACCAGACUGAUCACUUUCCUUAAAAGCGGAAGAGGAAGUCGCCAUCAGCCAUUCUUCUUUAUGCCUUCUACUCAGGGCAUGCCUCAAUCUUUCAAUAAGUUCAUUAAAGGACAUAUUUUACAGCACAUUAUGAGCUUUAUACCUCUCACACAAACAUAUUACGCUCCUGGAGGAAGGUGGCCCUUAUGAGUCCCAUAAAACAGGCCUCGUGAAUAUGAUUGUAAAAGCCGCUGCUCAGUAUGGACUCAGUGUGAGCGGAAGGUCAUUUAGUAGAAAGCAUACACGGCAAAAAUGUAUGCCUGUAAAGAUGUCUUUGGUGGAGUUUCCAAGCUGCUGAAAUACAUCUACUGCAGCCUAAUGGACUUUUUUUUACCCACUGGAAGCAGUAGUAGGGUUGCUGGGUUUGAAUUAAAGUAACCUCAUUCUUUGGUCAAGGUCUGAAGUAGGCAACUCUCCGCCCUUAAUAGCCCUGAAAUUCCAUCAUAAGAGCAAAACUCAAAUUAUUUCUGGUUUUGUUACCGGCAUAAAUUGGA